rnacentral:rRNA from 1 species
UAAGGUGAGACCUGCCCAAUGAUUCUUAAUUAAAUAAAAAUAACAAUAUUAUAAUAGAAUUUAAAGGACGCGGUAACCUUGACUGUGAUAAUGUAGCAUAAUCAUUCGCCAUUUAAUUGAUGGAUAGUAUGAACGGUUAAACGAAUAUUACACUGUCUCAGAAAAAGAUUUUAUAAAAUUGAAAUAAUAGUCAAGAUGCUAUUUAAAAUUGUAAGACGAAAAGACCCUAUAGAGCUUCACUACAUUAUUCCUUUUAUAUGAAGAAAACAAAUCUUUAAAAAAAGAAUAAAGAUAGUUUAGUUGGGGCGACUAUCUUCUAAAAAUAACGAAGACAAACAAUAUUAAUAAAAUAAUUUAUUGUAUAAAAAAUAAAUUUAACAAUUACUAAAGUAGGUUAUAAUGACCCAUUAUGAUUAAAUAAAAAAACAUAAUGAUAAAUAAAUAAAAGCUACCUUAGGGAUAACAGGAUAAUUUUACUCUAGAGACCACAUCAAAAGUAAAGUUUGUCACCUCUAUGUUGAAUUAAGAUAUCCAAGUAAUGCAGAAGUUACUAAAGGUAGGUCUGUUCGACCUUUAAAAUCUUACAUGAUUUGA